rnacentral:lncRNA from 1 species
UCCUCAAACUGUAAGACCAUUGACACUUUAGUCCUUAAACCUCAAUUCGUUAUAAUUUUUGGCUCGAACUUUCGGAUUUGUUGCAAUCAUUUUUUGCAAUUCAAAUUAGUUUACUAAAUUUUAACACAUCGUUAAUGUAAAACUGAAGUGGUAUCGUAAUUACUAGCACAUCAACAAUCACAAUACUAUUAUAUCACUUGUAUAUUAGCGAUAUAUCAAUCUUUCAUUAUCCAAAUUAGUUUAUAAAACUUUAUUGUAAUAAUUCUAAAAGUUCAAGCCAAAAUAUUACAACAAAUUAUAGAUUGAGGAUCAAAGUAUCACUAGCCUCAAAGUUUAAUUACAAAAAUACCCUCACAUGAAAUAACUUUUUAACCUGCUGUAUAAUGAAAUGAUAUUUUUAACCUUCAUUAAUCAACAAUUAAAAUUUUUUUUUUAUAAAAUAAAGUACCGAAUCAUUUCUCAAAACAAAAAACAUGUAAUUACAAAAGGAUCUCAU